rnacentral:rRNA from 1 species
UACGUAGGAGGCGAGCGUUGUCCGGAGUUACUGGGCGUAAAGGGUGCGUAGGCGGUUUUCCAAGUUUGGUGUGAAAUCUCCCGGCUCAACUGGGAGGGUGCGCCGAAAACUGGAGGACUGGAGUACCGGAGAGGUAAGCGGAAUUCCUGGUGUAGCGGUGAAAUGCGUAGAGAUCAGGAGGAACACCUGUGGUGUAGACAGCUUACUGGACGGUGACUGACGCUGAGGCACGAAAGCGUGGGUAGCAAACAGG